GGCUGCGCAGCUUGAACCGCACGCGGUCUGAAGCCUUCGCAGUAAGGGACCCCAAUUACUGUCACUUUCCUGCGCUGAUGCACAUCCAACAGGCUCGGCAGGCCCCGGGCCUCCACUCCAGGGUUGAAUCAGCAGUUAAGCCCUCCUAUUCUUUGGAAAUUCUCCGCUCACUCCUGUGGAUUUCUGUUUCAACACCAAAGAACCAGUGUCCUCAACCAGCGCCAGCAGGAGUUUCACAUCCUGGUGCUCACCUGCCAUCUGGUGGUGAGGAAUGAACACCAAGAUACAGAGGAAAUUUUCUUUCUUCUGCGGUUUUCUCCACAGUUAACAACUCAGAGUGUUUGGUCAGUGUAAAAUGUAAAAGAUAUGAGGCAGUGAGGAAGCUGAAACACAGGAUGGACGAUGAAAUGGAGCCAUGAAUGAGGACGGGACAGGAAAAGCACACGAGGAAGUCCUCAUACUUUUUAAGGAGAGAGGCCCAGUUUGGUCCUGAAUUUUUCCAGCAGCCUGCACAGAGGGAAAUUUGAUCAGCAAAACAGAAGGAAGAUGCAGAAGAAGAGAGCAAGAAAUGAAGUCUGGGUUUGAAGGUUGCUUGUUAAGUCUUGUCUACAUGGACACCCGCCGAAACAAAGAGCCUCUACAAUAGCAGCCAGCACCUUAC